rnacentral:rRNA from 1 species
AGGACGAACGCUGGCGGCGUGCUUAACACAUGCAAGUCGAGCGGUGACGCUCCUUCGGGAGCUGAUCAGCGGCGAACGGGUGAGUAACACGUGGGCAACCUGCCCCGUAACACUGGGAUAACCUCGGGAAACCGGGGCUAAUACCGGAUAUGACUUCGAGCGGCAUCGCUUGAAGUGCAAAGCUCCGACGGUUAGGGAUGGGCCCGCGGCCUAUCAGCUUGUUGGUGGGGUAAUGGCCUACCAAGGCGACG